rnacentral:rRNA from 1 species
GAUGAACGCUAGCGGGAGGCUUAACACAUGCAAGUCGAGGGGCAGCAUAGGGUAGCAAUACUCUGAUGGCGACCGGCAAACGGGUGAGUAACGCGUAUGCAACCUACCCUGUACAGGGGGAUAACCCGGAGAAAUUCGGACUAAUAUCCCGUAAUAAUAUCCGGAGGCGUCUUUGGAUAUUUAAAGUUCCGACGGUACGGGAUGGGCAUGCGUAACAUUAACUGGUUGGUAAGGUAACGGCUUACCAAGGCUAUGAUGUUUAGGGGUCCUGAGAGGGUGGUCCCCCACACUGGUACUGAGACACGGACCAGACUCCUACGGGAGGCAGCAGUGAGGAAUAUUGGUCAAUGGGCGCAAGCCUGAACCAGCCAUCCCGCGUGCAGGAAGACGGCCCUAUGGGUUGUAAACUGCUUUUCCAGGGAGAGAAACUUACGCACGUGUUGCGUGACUGACGGUACCCUGGGAAUAAGCAUCGGCUAACUCCGUG